GACGAACGCUGGCGGCGUGCUUAACACAUGCAAGUCGAACGGAAAGGCCCUGCUUUUGUGGGGUGCUCGAGUGGCGAACGGGUGAGUAACACGUGAGUAACCUGCCCUUGACUUUGGGAUAACUUCAGGAAACUGGGGCUAAUACCGGAUAGGAGCUCCUGCUGCAUGGUGGGGGUUGGAAAGUUUCGGCGGUUGGGGAUGGACUCGCGGCUUAUCAGCUUGUUGGUGGGGUAGUGGCUUACCAAGGCUUUGGCGGGUAGCCGGCCUGAGAGGGUGACCGGCCACAUUGGGACUGAGAUACGGCCCAGACUGCUACGGGAGGCAGCAGUGGGAAAUAUUGCACGAUGGGCGGAAGCCUGAUGCAGCAACGCCGCGUGCGGGAUGACGGCCUUCGGGUUGUAAACCGCUUUCGCCUGUGACGAAGCGUGAGUGACGGUAAUGGGUAAAGAAGCACCGGCUAACUACGUG
rnacentral:rRNA from 1 species